rfam:Fukomys damarensis contig108722, whole genome shotgun sequence.
CUGCAAGGAUGAUUUAAGAACUGAACUCUCUCUUUCUGAUGGCUCCAUGGAGAAAGCAGAAAUUCUGAGUAGC